GGUGAUAAAACAUAGUCAGGUCCAGUCAUAAGCUGCUCUGAGGAUAAAGCGCUCACUGGGAGAAACCAGCUUUCUAUGCCUGAGAGUACCCAGGGAAUCACACCUCCAACCCAAGCAACAGUACAGACGUUAAUGAGGUAAACAUGCAGGCAGGACUGAGGUGUCCCUGCUGCCCCCUGGUGUUCAAACUACCAUCUACAAAUGAGAGGACGCCGAGAGGGCAGGAAGUGAACCAGCAUUGACGUCCUUCCUGCAGCAGACUCGCUCACAGAACGACUAUUGAACAACCAUCUCCUCCCAGUCUUAAUGUGUCAAAGUGAUGACUGUUCCUCAGGACAUCAGGAAAUAUUACUACAAAUAAAUAAAACAUUUCUUUUUUUUAGAACCACAAAAUCUUUAAUAAGGACGUGCAGAUUCUUCAUGAAUCGGUAAAAAAUGAUUCAAACUUGUCCAAAUGUUCAUCGAUACAGAAAUUAAAAAAUAAAAAGGGGUUGUCUUGAAAUGUGAAGUAGAUGAUUUUUCUUCAUGCAGGCUCGCUGCGAGUGUGCACGCCUGCGAGUGUAUGAGUGUCUGCGGUCGCCUGCGAGUGUACGACUGUACGCAGCCGCCUGCAAGUGUGCGUGCCUCCAAAUGUGUGAGUGUGUGCGGGCGCCUGCAAGGGUACGUGGGCGCGCCUGCGAGUGUGUGUGGGCGCCUAUGAGCGUGCCCAGGCGCCUCUGAGAGUGUGCGUGCCUGAGAGUGCACUCGGGCGCCUGUGAGAGUGCAUGCACGUGAGUGCAAAAGGAUUUGUGAUCAUUUCAGUAUUCUGUAUAAUAGUGUAUUUGUAUUGAAUCAUUUCUGUUAGUAGGAAAACAGACAGUUUGAUGUAAGGGGCGAAAAGAAAACAUACUUGGCCUCAAAAUACCAAAUACCCAUUGAGGUGAGAAAAAAAGAAAAAAAAAAA